rnacentral:lncRNA from 1 species
AGCAUUGUAAGCACAAAGAAUAAGACUCCUCAAUCCUGGGAGAGAGAAUUAAAGUCUAGCCCUCCAAAUGGCUAUUCUAAUGUGAUGCUGGGAUUGAGUUUACCUUGGACUCCACAUCAAGGUUGACUCGAAAGUCUUGUAGAAGAUCUGGACGAAAUACGUAAGUGGCCUUCUGGUAAUAAUU